GGCGAACCCAAGCAAAUCUAGCCCUCCCCGUUCCUAAAAUAUAGUGACUUCCAGCCAGACUGCUGCUUCAGCCUGCUCACGGGUGGACACGUUGUGCCGUAUCCUGCGCUAUGAGCCCUCUACGCAGAGAGCACCUGUGUCUAUCUUUGCUCUUCCUUCUCUUGGCUUUGGGAGGCUCCUCCGUGCACUGGGCGUGAAUGUCUGCCACUAGAUACCCGCACUCACCAUUCCUGGGUCGGUCCUCUGAUGUCAUCUCUCCGUUUGUCUCAGGUUUCAUCUCUGAGUCUCUCUCUGAUGUCUUGUCACACGGAAGCCAUUUACCCUGACCCCAAGGUUAAG
rnacentral:lncRNA from 1 species